GUGGUGGUGGUCCCUUAUCAUCAUUUUUGGGUGGUGGUGGUGGUGUGGAAGAUUGCGAUGGUGCUGAUGGCAGCGAAGCUAGGGGUUUAGGUGAUGGUGGUGGAGUGGGUUUAGGUGAUGGUGGCGAAGGUUGUGGUUUAGGUGAUGGUGGCAGGGAUGGUGGUUGAGGCAUAAUCAAUGAGGAUGGUGGAUGCAAGAUCGGAGAGGGUAGUGGACUGGGAAGAGAUGU
rnacentral:lncRNA from 1 species